UAGGGAAUCUUCGGCAAUGGGGGCAACCCUGAUCGAGCAACGCCGCGUGAGUGAAGAAGGUUUUCGGAUCGUAAAGCUCUGUUGUAAGAGAAGAACGUGUGUGAGAGUGGAAAGUUCACACAGUGACGGUAACUUACCAGAAAGGGACGGCUAACUACGUGCUAG
rnacentral:rRNA from 1 species